rnacentral:rRNA from 1 species
AGAGUUUGAUCCUGGCUCAGAUUGAACGCUGGCGGCAUGCCUUACACAUGCAAGUCGAACGGUAACGCGGGGCAACCUGGCGACGAGUGGCGAACGGGUGAGUAACGCAUCGGAACGUGCCCAGUAGUGGGGGAUAGCCCGGCGAAAGCCGGAUUAAUACCGCAUACGACCUACGGGUGAAAGCGGGGGACCGUAAGGCCUCGCGCUAUUGGAGCGGCCGAUGUCAGAUUAGGUAGUUGGUGGGGUAAAAGCCUACCAAGCCGACGAUCUGUAGCUGGUCUGAGAGGACGACCAGCCACACUGGGACUGAGACACGGCCCAGACUCCUACGGGAGGCAGCAGUGGGGAAUUUUGGACAAUGGGCGCAAGCCUGAUCCAGCCAUGCCGCGUGCGGGAUGAAGGCCUUCGGGUUGUAAACCGCUUUUGUCAGGGAAGAAACGCUCCGGGCCAAUACCCUGNGGUAAUGACGGUACCUGAAGAAUAAGCACCGGCUAACUACGUGCCAGCAGCCGCGGUAAUACGUAGGGUGCAAGCGUUAAUC